ensembl:lncRNA
GUCCAGAUGGGUUAGGGCAGUGUGCAGUGUGGUUGAGAUUGCAUCGUCUGUGGACCUAUUUGGGCGGUAAGCAAAUUGGAGUGGGUCAAGGGGUGCAGGUAGGGUGGAGGUGAUAUGGUCCUUGACUAGUCUCUCAAAGCACUUCAUGAUGACGGAUGUGAGUGUACGGGGCGUGUCCUCCUCCAGGUCAGUAUAUUGAGGGAGUCCUCCUCCAGGUCAGUAUAUUGAGGGAGUCCUCCUCCAGGUCAGUAUAUUGAGGGAGUCCUCAUCCAGGUCAGUAUAUUGGGGGAGUCCUCAUCCAGGUCAGUAUGUUGAGGUAGUCCUCCUCCAGGUCAGUAUGUUGAGGUAGUCCUCCUCCAGGUCAGUAUGUUGAGGGAGUCCUCCUCCAGGUCAGUAUAUUCAUUACUGCAGGCUUUUUCUCUAACUCUACUCUAAUACCCUUUUCAUUUUAUCUCAGGCAAGUUGGAUUUCCCUGCUGUAAAUGUGUCAAUGAAGGAUAUGAAGGUCACAGUGAGCUUCGACAACCCUUACCACCUGUACACAGAACUGAAAGAGUCUCGCAUGGGUGAAGAUGACAAACGCUUCCUAUCCCAAGUAACCUAUGAAAAUACUAAUCACACGUUUGAGUGCCAGAUAGAAGACAAAGUCUGCCAUCAUUACUUCACAGUCCUGGGGAACAAGGAGAAGUACUGUGUUCGUCUGGAGGGGAAUGCAAUGGGCCACCGAGUUAUGUUCAACAGUAAAGGGCCCAUCUGUGUCAAUGAAGAGAAAACAAUUUCACUGGAAUAUUUUUUGCCAUUGAUCAUCAUUGGCAUUGUGGCCUUUGUAGUCUUUGUGACAAUAAGGCUCUGCAAGAGAAGCAUGCGGAAAAGAAACUUGUCCAAUUUUCCAAAGACUUUGGCUUCAAUCUUAUCAAACCCACACGACAAGAAUAUAAUGGAGCUGCAAUUUGAGAUCAUAGCGCACAUUAGUGGCAUAGAACCAGUUACCACCACAUCCCAGAGCCUGUUGGAAACUUCAGAAGAGGAGGAGGAACCGGUUGAGAGUCCGACCACUAGCGUUGGAUUUUCGGCUAACCCCUUUAGUUCUGGGCAGGUGGGAGAGGGCUUAUCGGACAGCAGGAGCCAAUUACGGACUGAGCUUCAGGUGAUACAGCCACGCUCUGUGCUGCUGUGUGGAGAUGACUCCGAGGAAUCAGACGACAUGGAUUCCACAGCUUCUGGCUAUGACAGACAACACAUUCCUCUACAAGAGGUGGAGGUGGAGAUGAGUGCAGGAGAUGUAGUGGUGGGCUAUGGCCCCACCUGA